UAGGGAAUCUUCGGCAAUGGGGGCGAACCCUGACCGAGCAACGCCGCGUGAGUGAAGAAGGUUUUCGGAUCGUAAAGCUCUGUUGUAAGAGAAGGACGUGUGUGAGAGUGGAAAGUUCACACAGUGACGGUAACUUACCAGAAAGGGACGGCUAACUACGUGCCAC
rnacentral:rRNA from 1 species